GAUGAACGCUGGCGGCGUGCUUAACACAUGCAAGUCGAACGGAAAGGCCCAAGCUUGCUUGGGUGCUCGAGUGGCGAACGGGUGAGUAACACGUGGGUGAUCUGCCCUGCACUUUGGGAUAAGCCUGGGAAACUGGGUCUAAUACCGGAUAGGACCAUCGUUUAGUGUCGGUGGUGGGAAGUUUUUCGGUGUGGGGUGAGCUCGCGGCCUCUCAGCUUGUUGGUGGGGUAAUGGCCUACCAAGGCGUCGACGGGUAGCCGGCCUGAGAGGGUGUACGGCCACAUUGGGACUGGGAUACGGGCCAGACUCCUACGGGAGGCAGCAGUGGGGGAUAUUGCACAAUGGGCGCAAGCCUGAUGCAGCGACGCCGCGGGGGGGAUGACGGCCUUCGGGUUGUAAACUCCUUUCGCCAAGGACGAAGCGUUUUGUGACGGUACUUGGAGAAGAAGCACCGGCUAACUACGUG
rnacentral:rRNA from 1 species